ensembl:lncRNA
CAUAAAACAAACUUUGUGAAUGCUGAAUGACUGCUAUACUAGCUGCAUGAAAAUACAUACACAAAUAAAGAAACAUGAGAUAAAUACAGUUUUGUUAAAAUUCUGUCUUUUUGUUCUAUUAUUAAAGAGAAAGAGCAUUUAGCUGUCAGUUUUGGUUUGUCUUGCACUCUUAAAACAGAUGUGUUGUUUUUUAACACAUUUUUUGUGUACCCCAUAAACCGACUCAUGUUGUGUUGGCUUUUACGCAUUUUGUGUUACUCACGGUCAGUGAUAAGACACACAAAACAUGUGUUAAACCAUUGACCAAUCACGCAGCGGAAUUUAUGUCUGCGCGCCUCAAAUCUUCUAGAACUUUCCAUGUUUGAAAAGUGACUCGAGGCCACCACUACGAAUUGUAUUUCGAGCUGGAAAUUUGAGGAAUGGAAAUGACAAAAAAAGUCCUUGCAACAGUUUUCCUAGAUGGCAAAGAGAUCUGCAAGAAAAUACAUGAACUCUGCAGCGCUUCAGAGUUGAUUGAUUCAAGCAAGUGUCAAGUCCCUCCUGGAGCAGAGUUAAACAGAUUUCUUAAAUACAAUGCUGACUUUUGUGAGUUUAUAGAUUCUGACUGCAAUGCAGACAUUAAAGAACUGGAUAAAUUCCACAUAUUUUUCAAGCUGGGAUCUGAGCAAGUCAGUGGUCAAACUGAAGAGCCUCCUGUAUUGGUAAACCACGAGGGAACACAACCAUGUCUACCUCCCAGUGGUGAAGAAAGUGGACUUCAAGUGCUCAAAGCACUUAUUCGGGCAAAGGCUCCAAAUCUACUUACGGAGUAUGAGGAAUGCGGGGCCUUGAGCACAAAAAGCAGAAUGUUGCUUGUAAGGCUUGCAGUCAGCGAUUUAGUGCAGAGACAAGGAUUUUACCCCUCCAGCUAUGACAAAGUGUGCCUUGCGAAGAAUCUUGUUGCCAUCUUUCCAAAGCUGAGUGUGAAAGUCCAGGAACACAGUGGAGGAUAUGAACAUUUCUAUGAUCCAACAUCGCACAGUGGCUUCAUUGAAAUGAAACUAAGAAACCUGAGAAGGGAUAUAGACGAUGACCAAAGACGAUACAGACGGAAGUGCAAGCAGAAAAGAGUUGUAGCACUGACCAUGAUGAAUGUGGAUGAGGAUGUGAGUGAAUGGGUGACCUUGGCAAAGAGGAUGAAGCCAUCAUCUGUAAACUUCUCAACAAUCAAGCAAGCUAUGGACCAGACCUACCAUCACAGAAGAAUGUGGAUAUUGACCCAAUCUCCAACACUGCCGGAGAUAUUUGAGCAGUAUCCACGUUUCAUUGAUAUGCCAGAACUGUUUCAUUCAGAUUUCGAUCAACAAUUUAAGGGCAAGGCAGACAGUUUUCUUCGAAAAUGGGAAACUUACAUCAUCCCCAGACUCAUGAGAAUUGCUUCCAAGGAGCUUUCUGAGGAACUUUCUUGCACCACAAGCAACAGUGAUGACAUGCUGUGCUAUAGAGCUCUUCAGGUUCUCACACACCUUCUUCCACCAACGGCAUCAGGACGAGCGGCAGGAUAUAGUCGUUGCAGUGUGAAAUCUGCAAUUUCCUACCUUCUUGAUUUUGCUCCGCCUGGAACAUGCAUCCCUUCUUUGCUUGAAAAUCCGGAUUCAUCACUGAAGGCCCAACAACCUUGCAUUCUGUGCCUGGGACACCCAGAGGGAAUUCAUCAGCAGUAUGUGAUCAUUGCAAGGAACGACAAGAUCACCAUUCCACUUGGAGAUGAUGGACUGACAUCUGCAGUUGACAAGCUAUUCAAGAUGUACUGGGUCUGCAACCUUGCAUACCCUGUCCAAUUGCAGUCAGUAUUCUCUUUCCUUGAGCACAUCUAUGAAAUACCUGCUUCUGGGAACAAAAGGUCCAAAGUUGUCGAACUUAUCUCCAAGCUCCAGGCUAUAUAAUGAGUCAGAGCUCCGUCUCCCCCUCUGGUCACUGUCGGGGUCCAGCUCCAGCGUACUAAACUCACUGCAUCUCCCAGCAUCCUCAGCGUACAGUCCCUGGAUGCCACACACCUGACUCCAAUCUGACAAUCACCCACCUCUUUCUUAAACAGUGCACAGAGCCUCACUCUGUGAUGUAUUGGUUUGUGCUACCCUGCCAGCAUUACCAAACAUUUCUACCUUGACUUAUCUCUGAUUGCUUGCUGCCUGCCCUGACCCUAGCCUGGAUUAGGAUCACUUGUCUUUGAGGUCAUCCUCAGAUCUGACCUGGGGUAAAGCUAAUUUCAAAUAGGUGUAAAUCAGAGACUCAUCUUUUCUAUUGUUGUUCUUCUCCAAAGCAGCUUUACGGGAAGGUAGAGAGCUGGUCUAUAGUAGCUACAAGCAGACUAGCAAUACAUGGUUUUUGAACACAAGGAGGGGAACUUUUUGUGCAAUUUAUGUUCAAACCACUGCAACCUAUUAAGAAGUUUGAAAACCUUAACUUACCUCACUGGCAACCAAAAAUCCAGAGGGCUUUUCCUGCUAUUUGUUAAUUGAAAAUCUGGAUUUUCUUAAGUAUAACAAAGGUCUUUGUUAAUGUAUAAGUUAACUUUACCACAAAGGAAGAAUAAAAAAAAACUACUUCAGCUGGGAACUGUGAACAACCAAGUCUAAAGUGGUUAGAAAGUGUGCAAGUGUUUACAUCGAGGGAGAAAAAUUUUUUUUGUCAGUUUCUUCCACUUGAAAAGAUGAGUUUGGUCUGAAAUAUGGAAACACAUCAGCUGUGAGAGACAAAAGGUAAAAACAAAAAAACAGGAAGGAUAUCAGUUCUCGAUCUGGAAUAAAUUAAGUGGACUAAACAAUUUUCCCAGUCUAUCGACACCAUAAGUGUUAAUCUUUUUUAGUCUGUUCUAGUAAAAAAAAAAAUAUUUUUUUUUUUUCUUGAACCAACAAUAUUAGCUAAGUUCACACUCAAAGCCCUUCUGAUACACCAUGUACAUAUUAAAUACAAUUUGCUGAAAAGAAGAGAAAUAAAAAAAAAUACACAGAGCACAGUGCAGUCUGUUCUGAGAGAUUUCCCUUGAUUAAAAGUGUUUAAAAUAGAAAUUUUAAUACUAGACCGACAAAUCCUUUACGGAUGGUACGCAAAUAUCGCAAAUAAAAAUUUGUUCCCC